rnacentral:rRNA from 2 species
AAAUUGAAGAGUUUGAUCAUGGCUCAGAUUGAACGCUGGCGGCAGGCCUAACACAUGCAAGUCGAGCGGUAGCACAGAGAGCUUGCUCUCGGGUGACGAGCGGCGGACGGGUGAGUAAUGUCUGGGAAACUGCCUGAUGGAGGGGGAUAACUACUGGAAACGGUAGCUAAUACCGCAUAACGUCGCAAGACCAAAGUGGGGGACCUUCGGGCCUCAUGCCAUCAGAUGUGCCCAGAUGGGAUUAGCUAGUAGGUGGGGUAAUGGCUCACCUAGGCGACGAUCCCUAGCUGGUCUGAGAGGAUGACCAGCCACACUGGAACUGAGACACGGUCCAGACUCCUACGGGAGGCAGCAGUGGGGAAUAUUGCACAAUGGGCGCAAGCCUGAUGCAGCCAUGCCGCGUGUAUGAAGAAGGCCUUCGGGUUGUAAAGUACUUUCAGCGAGGAGGAAGGCGUUAAGGUUAAUAACCUUGGCGAUUGACGUUACUCGCAGAAGAAGCACCGGCUAACUCCGUGCCAGCAGCCGCGGUAAUACGGAGGGUGCAAGCGUUAAUCGGAAUUACUGGGCGUAAAGCGCACGCAGGCGGUCUGUCAAGUCGGAUGUGAAAUCCCCGGGCUCAACCUGGGAACUGCAUUCGAAACUGGCAGGCUAGAGUCUUGUAGAGGGGGGUAGAAUUCCAGGUGUAGCGGUGAAAUGCGUAGAGAUCUGGAGGAAUACCGGUGGCGAAGGCGGCCCCCUGGACAAAGACUGACGCUCAGGUGCGAAAGCGUGGGGAGCAAACAGGAUUAGAUACCCUGGUAGUCCACGCCGUAAACGAUGUCGACUUGGAGGUUGUGCCCUUGAGGCGUGGCUUCCGGAGCUAACGCGUUAAGUCGACCGCCUGGGGAGUACGGCCGCAAGGUUAAAACUCAAAUGAAUUGACGGGGGCCCGCACAAGCGGUGGAGCAUGUGGUUUAAUUCGAUGCAACGCGAAGAACCUUACCUACUCUUGACAUCCAGAGAACUUAGCAGAGAUGCUUUGGUGCCUUCGGGAACUCUGAGACAGGUGCUGCAUGGCUGUCGUCAGCUCGUGUUGUGAAAUGUUGGGUUAAGUCCCGCAACGAGCGCAACCCUUAUCCUUUGUUGCCAGCGGUCCGGCCGGGAACUCAAAGGAGACUGCCAGUGAUAAACUGGAGGAAGGUGGGGAUGACGUCAAGUCAUCAUGGCCCUUACGAGUAGGGCUACACACGUGCUACAAUGGCAUAUACAAAGAGAAGCGACCUCGCGAGAGCAAGCGGACCUCAUAAAGUAUGUCGUAGUCCGGAUUGGAGUCUGCAACUCGACUCCAUGAAGUCGGAAUCGCUAGUAAUCGUAGAUCAGAAUGCUACGGUGAAUACGUUCCCGGGCCUUGUACACACCGCCCGUCACACCAUGGGAGUGGGUUGCAAAAGAAGUAGGUAGCUUAACCUUCGGGAGGGCGCUUACCACUUUGUGAUUCAUGACUGGGGUGAAGUCGUAACAAGGUAACCGUAGGGGAACCUGCGGUUGGAUCACCUCCUUACCUUAAAGAA